rnacentral:rRNA from 1 species
GACGAACGCUGGCGGCGUGCUUAACACAUGCAAGUCGAACGGAAAGGCCUGCUUUCCCUUGUGUAUUGCGGGUACUCGCGUGGCGAACGGGUGAGUAACACGUGAGUGAUCUUCCCCCAACUUGGGUAUAAGCCUGGGAAACUGGGUCUAAUUCCCGAUAGGACUGCAGGGGGGUGCCUGUGGUGGCAAACGAUGUUCUAGUGGUUGGGGAUGAGCUGGCGGCGUAUCAGCUUGUUGGUGGGGUAAUGUCCUACCAAGGCGGGGACGGGUAGGCGGCCUGGGAGAGUGGGCGGGAAAGUUGGAACUGAGAUACGGCGCCGAAUACUACGGGAGGAAGCAGAGGGGAAGAAUGAGCGGUGAGCGGAAGCCUGAUGCAGCAACGCUGAGUGGGGGAUGACGGCCGUGGGGUUGUAACCUUCUGUCGGUAGCGAGGAAGCCACCUGGUUGGAAGGGUGGUGACGGUAGUGGGAAAAGAAGCACCGGCUAACUACGUG